rnacentral:snRNA from 1 species
GUGCUCGCUUCAGCAGGACAUAUAGUAAAAAUUGGAAUGAUAUACAGAUAAACAUGGCCCCUGCACAAGGAUGACACACAAAUUUGUGAAGCAUUCCAUAUUUUU